ensembl:lincRNA
GGAGGCUUUGAGCAGCCCCUCGUGGUCCAGGAGGCCUCCUGUUUUCAGCGGGGUGGGUUAAACCUCAUAGCACACGCCUCUUGAUGGGGUGCCAUGCAACGAGGGCCACCCACGUGUGCAGCUCUUCCUGUUUCCAUGGUUCCUGAGGAUUUAUUUCCUCUCUGAACAUGCAUCGCUCAUUAUGAAUGUGGAGAUCACAUUCCUGACAUGAAUGUGAAUUCUAGGAGGUAAAGAUUAAAAAGAAAACAAACUGCCAGCAACUCUAGUUCUUUUUUUCCCUGUGAGAACACUGUCAGCCCACUGUGGAACUGAAAUUCCAUAAGAUGAAGAAAUUUAAGUUGAUUUUAUGUGCCAUAAAGUUUAUGGAAAAACUCUUCACAGGUUCUAUAGCUGUCAACGGAAAACUGUCACCUGCCAGAACAGAUGUUACAGCCAUCAAGCCACUGCAGACACUCCAGCGGGGCACCCUGAGGGGACUCAGGAGGAGAAAGAACCAGACGCUGGCCCCAGAUGGCUGAGGGUACAUCAAAGGAAUGACUUCCGUGAGGCCAGACUCUUGCAACUUCCUGUACACAGAAAAGUACAAAAUGCCGUACCUUGAGAUGUCCGGUUUUCUUUACUUAACAGUAAUCCCUUGAUGUUCUAACUACCUGGUCUUUGUUGCAAAAACUCCUAUGUGUCCUGGCUUCUCCCUUACCUCUUUGGGGCAGUUCUUUAGGAUAGCUGUCCCCAACCAUUUUGGUCCCAGUGACUGGUUGUGUGGAAGACAAUUUUUCCAUGGCCCAGGGCUGGGGGGAUGAUUUUGCGAUGAUUCAAGUGCAUUAUAUUUGUUAUGUGUGUGAGCGUGCUACGUCGAUUCAGUUGUGUCCAACUCUUUGCAACCUCAUGGACUGUAGCCCACCAGGCUCUUCUGUCCAUGGGAUUCUAAGGCAAGGAUCCUGGAGUGGGUUGUCAUGCCCUCCUCCAGGGGAUUUUCCCGACCCAGGGAUUUAACCUGCAUCUCCUUCACUGCAGGCAGGUUCUUUACCACUAGCACCACCUGGAAAGCCCACAUGUAUCAUGCACUUUAUUUCUGUUAUUAUCACAUCAGCUCUAUCUCAGAUCAUCAGGCAUUAGAUCCCAGAGGUUGAGUACCCUUGCCUUAGAGCUAUCUGAAGGGCUGCUUCAGGGGCUUAAGUCCUCAGCUUUGCUUGCCAAAUAAAACAUGUAUCUCAACUUUUAGGUCAUGUAUUUUUUUUUCCAGUUGACACAGUGCCCACUAUGCCCAGGCAGGGGGCUGGUGGGAGAAUGAAGGAAAAAAUAAAGCAGAUCACGGGCCUAAUCAUGCAGCCAAUCCGAACUGCAUAACCUGACAGACACUGUUUUACAGGCACAUGAAACAAUAAGCCUGCAUUUCCUGGGUAGGUCCUACCUCAUCUAUGUUGUGAUUAAAUCACUCAGUUAUGGAUCUGAGAGUUCAGGGCAGUGAGGCUGGUAUUCAGUGGAAGCCCCUGAGUCUUUCAGCAGAACUCUGCCAUGGAUGUCGGUGAUGGCACCAGCCCCUUAUGAACUAAACUAAAUGUGGAUUUCAUUUUAAAACAGUCUUGUUUUGCAUGUCAUGCUCUUUCAGU